UACUAAUCCCUUAGCUAAGGGGAAAAUAAAUAAUAGUCUGAGUAACUCUAGACCAGUGCCAACAUUAUGCAUUCGUUUCAGCUGGCGUCCAGAGUGCCUUUCAUGUUUAAAACUUUGACUCGAAUUAAGUGGGGCAACCUGUAUCUCUCUUACAGAACGACUAAUGUGAACGCGAUACUAUGGCGUUUCGACAUGCGAUCACUUGUAUCCGGCAUUCAGUUCACAAAAUGAGGGUACGCAUGCACUUCACAAUGCUUUUAUUAGGUCUAACAUAAAGAAACACUAACGUCCCCGUAAAAUUAAACAAUAAAAAUCACUACAAUAUUCACAACCGCUGGCAUGCGCUAUGUCACGCUGACCCGUGGUUCGCGAAUUCGUCACCUGUGCGGCGCGCGCCUGCCUCUGCAGACGCUGCCGGCAACCGGCCCACCGUAUAUCUGCAUCCAUCCAUGUUUUGAACUGAAACGCCUAUUGGCUUCGGCGGGUGCCUGGCGCUGCCGUGCUUCGCCCAGAGAACGGCCGUUGGAGGGCGAAUCUGUCGCGCGUCACAAGACGCACUCUCGCCCCGGGUCCCUCACGGCUUUAAAUACCAGCCGCAGCUGGUCGCAGGCGUCAGAACCCACGCUGAAUUCCUCCGGAAACAGUGGCAGACGACAGUGGCAGCAGACGACAACAACCCUGGCGUCCAACCACCUCCAAGCGUUCCGGUACCGCCUGCAGUCUGGGAGGCCCCGUGGUGCUGGCUUGCUCCGUGCCGCCUGAUAACCUGGCUUGGCAAGGCAGUGACGCGUCCGGCUGAUUCGGUGACUCGCUCGGAGCUGCGCGUUUUCUGCGAGAGGGUGGCGUCGAACACCUCCGCCUUGGCAUCGCAUCUGAGCGACUCGGAGGGCCUGGUUACGACGCAGCGUGUGCGGCAGGUGCUCGAAGUGACGGGUGGCCUCGGACGAGAAGCAGCCUGCAGUGACGGUGACAGCGAAGCGAAAUGGAACGUCUCGUGGCUCGUUCUACCGCACCAUCAGGAGAGAAUGAGGGAAAGCGCGGACUGUUACCGAUGUACGGGCUUCAUCGUUUCAAGUACUGCCUACGGGAGAGCCUGUGCAUAACACGGUCGUUCCCGGGAACCCACGUGCCCAAGCAUCCGACGACGAUCGCGUCCACCGUCACGGGCUGGAACGCCGGAGGAGAUGCUGCUGUACGGAGGCCUACAUCUCUUCCUUCGCCUUCCGGGUGUCAGGAAACGCCUGUAACCUGUUAUCGAAGGGACAGCAGACGUCCAGGAUAAGUGCCUCCUCUCCACAGGCCGCACCAGGUCGUGCUUCAGAGGUGUGGUGCCGAUGACCUCGUUCUCUGCAAGGAAUGCACCUCCCCAAGGCAGCCUUUUUAUUCGUUUGACGAUGGCUUUUCGCCCCGGAGAUAACGCCCUAUCAGGGUCGUUAGUCUAUUGGUGACGAACCUGGGCAUCUCAGCUACUCUCGCCACGUAGAAUGCAGG